GUGAACUAGCUAACUGAAAUCACAGGAUCCACUACGUGUGGUGAUUGUAAUAACGUAAGGGAAAAAAAUGAUAUUACCUUACUAUUAGUGUUGUCCAAAGCUGGUGCCAGAAGACUCGGUAAGGCCAGAGACGCAAACGUUAGUCGUCCUAAUCAGGCGUAAAGGGUAUGUAGGCUGUUUUAAAAGUUUUAUAUUAAUAGCUAAUGUAUUAAAAAUUUUAUUUAUUUUAAAUAAUAAAUAUUUUAUACAUAAAAAUAUAAGAUGAAUUAAAGCUAGGAUCAAAUGGAGGAUAAGUCAAAUAAUACCUAGUGUAGGGUUUAAAUCUGUUGAUAUUAGGUAGAGUACUAACGGUGAAAGCUUUUUAUCUAUAAAUGAUUGACGCUGAGAAACGAAGGUGAGAAUAGGAAAUAGGAUUAGAUACCCAGAUACCUCUCACAGUCAACGAUGAAUGGUGGUUGUUAGUUAGUUUUAUUUAACUGAUAACGAUGUUAACACGAUAACCAUUCCGCCUUGCGAGUACGGUUGCAAAACUGAAACCAAAAAAAUUAGUCGGUCUCGAAGCAAACGAAGUGAAGCAUGUUAUUUAA
rnacentral:rRNA from 1 species